rnacentral:SRP_RNA from 1 species
GCCAGGUGUGGUGGCGCAUGCCUGUAGUCCCAGCUACUUGGGAGGCUGAGGUGGGAGGAUUGCUUGAGCCCAGGAGGUAGAGGCUGCAGUGAGCUAUCGUUGCACCACUGCACCCCAGCCUGGGUGACAGAGAAAGACCCUGUCUCUA